rnacentral:rRNA from 1 species
GAGGGGCCCGCGUUCGAUUAGGUAGUUGGUGAGGUAAUGGCUCACCCAGGCCUACGAUCGAUAGCUGAUCUGAGAGGAUGAUCAGCCACACUGGGACUGAGAUACGGCCCAGACUCCUACGGGAGGCAGCAGUGGGGAAUAUUGGACAAUGGGGGCAACCCUGAUCCAGCAAUGCCGCGUGAGUGAUGAAGGCCUUCGGGUUGUAAAGCUCUUUUGCCAGGGACGAUGAUGACGGUACCUGGAGAAUAAGCCCCGGCUAACUUCGUGCCAGCAGCCGCGGUAAUACGAAGGGGGCAAGCGUUGUUCGGAAUUACUGGGCGUAAAGGGCGCGUAGGCGGCUUAUCAAGUCAGGCGUGAAAUUCCCGGGCUCAACCUGGGGGCUGCGUUUGAUACUGAUGAGCUUGAAUGCGGGAGAGGAUAGUGGAAUUCCCAGUGUAGAGGUGAAAUUCGUAGAUAUUGGGAAG